rnacentral:rRNA from 1 species
AUUGAACGCUGGCGGCAUGCCUUACACAUGCAAGUCGAACGGCAGAACGGGUGCUUGCACCUGGUGGCGAGUGGCGAACGGGUGAGUAAUACAUCGGAACGUACCUUAUCGUGGGGGAUAACGCAGCGAAGGCUGUGCUAAUACCUCGUACGCCCUGAGGGGGAAAGCGGGGGAUCGAAAGACCUCGCGAGAUUAGUGCGUCCGAUGCCUGGUUAGCUUGUUGGUGGGGUAAAAGCCCACCAAGGCGACGAUCAGUAGCUGGGCUGAGAGGACGAUCAGCCACACUGGGACUGAGACACGGCCCAGACUCCUCCGGGAGGCAGCAGUGGGGAAUUUUGGACAAUGGGGGCAACCCUGAUCCAGCAAUGCCGCGUGGGUGAAGAAGGCCUUCGGGUUGUAAAGCUCUUUUGUCAGGGAAGAAACACCGGCUCUAACACAGUCCGGGAAUGACGGUACCUGAAGAAUAAGCACCGGCUAACUACGUGCCAGCCGCCGCGGUAA